rnacentral:rRNA from 1 species
AACCUCCGCAAUGUGAGAAAUCGCGACGGGGGGAUCCCAAGUGCCAUUCUUAACGGGAUGGCUUUUCAUUAGUGUAAAAAGCUUUUGGAAUAAGAGCUGGGCAAGACCGGUGCCAGCCGCCGCGGUAACACCGGCAGCUCUAGUGGUAGCAAUUUUUAUUGGGCCUAAAGCGUCCGUAGCCGGUUUAAUAAGUCUCUGGUGAAAUCCUGUAGCUUAACUGUGGGAAUUGCUGGAGAUACUAUUAGACUUGAGACCGGGAGAGGUUAGAGGUACUCCCAGGGUAGAGGUGAAAUUCUGUAAUCCUGGGAGGACCGCCUGUUGCGAAGGCGUCUAACUGGAACGGUUCUGACGGUGAGGGACGAAAGUUAGGGGCGCGAACCGGAUUAGAUACCCGGGUAGUCCUAACUGUAAACGAUGCGGACUUGGUGUUGGGGUGGUUUUGAGCUGCUCCAGUGCCGAAGGGAAGCUGUUAAGUCCGCCGCCUGGGAAGUACGGUCGCAAGACUGAAACUUAAAGGAAGU